ensembl:lncRNA
AGGUUUCCCAGAGACUAUGGGUUGAGGAAGAAUUGGAAGUUUGUCGGCUUAGACCUGGUGUCAUUCCAUCAGUGUUAAACUUCCCGGCUCAUCUUGGAAGAGUACGUGCCAGAAAGACCACAACCAAGCAGCCUUGAGAUCUUAGGCAGCGUCUCCCUGAGUUCUGCUGGACCAGCUCAGCUUCCCCUCAGAAGAAGUGCUGCCACCUGCCAGAUGAAGGAGCCUUUUGAGAGGCAGCUGGCAUCGUGAUUGGACUGUACUUUGGUCUGUUCCAAUCCAGCUUCAGCUCCAGAGACGGCAGGCGGGACGAGUCAACGGAGGCCUGGUGGACGAAGGCAUGCAGCUGAGUACAAUCCAGAAAACAACAGAGGAGGAGUGCAGCAGCCCAGAGCCAGAACAAGCAGAGUAGCAUCACCAAAGAACUACAGACUCUUCACAACCUGCUCAAACUCUUGGUACAGGACCUCACCACACGGGUCAAGAAGGUUUCUGUCUCAUUUCUACUCUGAAGCUCACCUUCUGCUGCUCAAACUGCUGACAAAUGUUUCUGCUGCUCUAAAG